rnacentral:lncRNA from 1 species
CAUACGCUAAAAGCUUUGACAUGAUGCUUAGUAUGGCUGUCUGCAGCUGUCCAGUGGGAAGAUGCCAGCCAAAUCCCCCUGUCCAUUAAUGUGCAUGGACUCCCUUUUCAACUUGUUCUCUUGUUCAUCUCUCAGUACUAAGCUGCGUAAGUACUCAGCAUUUGCAGCUCCUGUACUUUGAACCAUCUUCGACAAAGCACUUACUUCAUUGAGAAGCAGCUUCUCAGGUGUAUCAUAUUCCACUACCUGCAAAUGGAUUCUCUGAGUCCCUCAUGGCAACUACAGAAAGUAUGUACUCUUGACUGAAGUUGGUUUUAGUUAAAACAUAUACGAAAUCAGUUGGAAAAUAUCUGAUCCUUGGUAUACCUGACCAGCCUCAAGCACCAGGAUCCGGUCACUGUCAAUGAUAGUAUUUAGCCUGUGAGCAAUAAUGAGCGUUGUGCAUGACUUAAAUUCUUCUCGAAUAGUUUUCUGGAUUAGUGCAUCGGUUCUAACAUCAACAGCUGCAGUUGCUUCAUCAAGGAUGAGAAUCUUUGAUCUCCGGAGUAGUGAUCGAGCAAGGCUAAGCAACUGCCUCUGCCCAACACUGAAGUUCUCACCUCCUUCUGAGACCUAAAAUCAAUCCCAAUACAUUUAAUUUUCCAUUUAACUUGUAUGCAGCAUGAACUAUGUAGAAGAAUUUGGAAGUCUGCAUACACCACAAUGUUAUUCAUCAGCUCCCUUGCAUGCAAAUUACCUGGAAAUGUUGUUGGGCAUCAAUGUGAAACAAAAGCUGAUAGUUUUUUUUUUUUAAACUAUUUGAUUAGAUUCUACCUGUUAAAGAAAAAAUUCCAGCAUCCUUUAAAAGACAUUGAACUCAUUUCCCCCCUUUUUUUUUCUGUCACGAGGUUGAGUCAUUAGAGCGUUAGUUUUUCUACUGCAGGAGUGUCAAAGAAUCUGGAUCUCUUGAGUGUAAGUGGACAUAGAAUUUAAGCAGCAGUGCAGUUCUGGGGACUAGUGAAAACAGAUUUCUAGCUUUCUGAAUCAUAUUGUUCAAAGGAGUCUGGUAAAUUCACUAUGUACAUGUUACGGCAUACAUGAGCAAACAAGGAACAAAUAGGACUUCCAUGACAAAGUAUAAGUUGAAAGCAUGAAGGCAUUACAAUGCCAAUGGAAAAUGUAGUCUUUAAGUUGACACAAAAUUAUUGAUCAACUACAUCAACCAUAGAGCUUGUACUGAUCAAAAUCUGGAUGCCAACUCGUAAGACGUUAAAUUUGCUAAGCCAGUGAUUGAAGAAAGGAAGAUGAGGACCAUUAUCAUUCCAUUUGAGUUAUCAAUGCAUGGGAAGACCAAAAUAGUUAUUAUCCCCGGUAACCUGCAUGAUAUUGGAAUAUAAGUAUUCAAUGUGUACCUUGGCAUCCAGACCAAAAGCAUUUUUCUGAAUGACAUCCUUUAGGUGUGCCCGCUCUAGUGCCUCCCAGAGAUCAAGAUCACUGUGUUUAUUGAAGGGAUCCAGAUUAAAUCGCACAGUUCCUGGACAAACAAAGAACCACCAUUCAAAAUCCUCAAAAACUUUACUAAAAUUAAUAGUAUAAAUUAUACUUGAAUGCAAAAGUGGAAUCUAAUUCUAGAGAAUUUAGAUUUACUUAAACCGAUAAAAAAGCUAAGCAUAACUUAACUUCACUGUCAAGGUUUUACAUAUAUCUAUUCUCAUCUGCAUGCGUGCAUUUUAGCCAAACUUCACUGCAGCACCGUGCCAAAGUUAAAGCAGUGGUUUUGGAGUGCGAAUUCAGCAGCAGGCAUUCAAUCUCAGCUUCAAAGAAGGCAUAUGCAUAUGAAACUGAAUAUGAUACAGGCCUCAUUUGACAUGUAUACAUCUAAGUGGAAUAUCAAUUUCUCAUAGUCAUACUUUGAGGUUAGAAGAAUUUCAGGUAUGAUAGGCUUGGCCUAAUCAAAGGUGCAUCAUUUGAAAUCAAAUUGGCUGUUUGUUGAAACCCCGUUAACCUAAAGCAGAAAGUGUCACCAGUUCUAUUCUUCCCGACAUUCAUCUACAUAAGCAGGGCAAGAGUAUUGAGUUGUGGUUGGCUGCAUACAUUGCAGUUAUACACUUGAACUUUACUACUUGAAGCAGAGAUAUGCAGAAUCUUAUUUUCUUAUGAUGCGUAAACAUGUUCUUGAGAUGGAAAGGUAUUAACAAGUAUAAAAUAAUGAGAACACAGUAUGAAAAUCUCUGCACAGCUCUCACCCCAAUAUAACAUAUGAACCCCAAUAGUCCACAUCCCAGUCCCCAGUCAACAAGAAUAUAUGAAAAAUCACAAUCCUUCCUUUUACCAGAGCUUCUCAAAAAUAUAACGUUCUAGUUAUGGAGAGAACUUCAAUUGCACAGACUAUUGAAUUAACUAAAAUCAUUUGAUAAAAUAGAAGAAACACAAGAUCUCAAAAUAAAGUAACAGAAUGGGUAACUUAGUAGGUUUUACCAGAGAAAAGAACUGGUGAUUGUGGUAUAAUGCUAAGAACUCUACGUAGAUCAGUCAAUCCAAACUUUAAAAUGUCGCAACCAUCAAUCAAGAUUCUCCCUCUUUCAGGUUCUACAAUCCGGAAUAAAGCAUUGAGCAAGCUGGAUUUUCCUGCACCAGUUCUUCCAACUAUACCGACCCUCUGAGUUGGAGAGAUUGUGAAGGACAAGCCAAGUAGGACAGCAGGGAGCCCAGGCCUGUAGCGAAGGACAACAUCUUCAAAUUUGAUUAGUCCUGCUGAAGGCCAUCCAGGUGGAGGCCGAUUGCUUUCAAUAAUAUCUGGAGCUUCAGCUGGUAAAUCAAUAUAUGUUCCCACACGCUCAACAGAAUUCAAACUAUUUUCAGCCCUACUUGCUUGUCUUAAAACAUUACCCAACAAAUCUGCAAUGUUUAAAGAAUAACUAAGCAGCAGACCCAUUGUGGAUGCAAAUGCAACCUUGUUUUCUGCUCUUCCAUUCUGCAUUACCGCAAAGGUUGCAGUCAACCAGAUCAUAAUACCUCCAAGGCUUUCCAGCCUUAUGUUGAGCC